GAUUCACUGGGUUUAAAGGGUGCGUAGGUGGGUUGGUAAGUCAGUGGUGAAAUCUCCGUGCUUAACAUGGAAACUGCCAUUGAUACUACUGAUCUUGAAUUUUCAGGAGGUAAGCGGAAUAUGUCAUGUAGCGGUGAAAUGCCUAGAUAUGACAUAGAACACCAAUUGCGAAGGCAGCUUACUACAGGAAUAUUGACACUGAUGCACGAAAGCGUGGGGAUCAAACAGGAUUAGAUACCCUGGUAGUCCACGCCCUAAACGAUGGAUACUCGACAUUUGUGAUACACAAUAAGUGUCUGAGCGAAAGCAUUAAGUAUCCCACCUGGGAAGUACGACCGCAAGGUUGAAACUCAAAGGAAUUGGCGGGGGUCCGCACAAGCGGUGGGGCAUGUGGUUUAAUUCGAUGAUACGCGAGGAACCUUACCUGGGCUAGAAUGUAGUCUGACCGUGGGUGAAAGCUCAUUUUGUAGCAAUACACAGAUUAUAAGGUGCUGCAUGGCU
rnacentral:rRNA from 1 species